rnacentral:rRNA from 1 species
UACGGAGGGUGCAAGCGUUAUCCGGAUUCACUGGGUUUAAAGGGUGCGUAGGUGGGCAGGUAAGUCCGAUGUGAAAGCUCCCGGCUUAACUGGGAAAUUGCAUCGGAAACUGGUCGGCUGGAAGGUGGGAGAGGGUAGCGGAAUUCCCGGUGUAGUGGUGAAAUGCGUAGAUAUCGGGAGGAACACCAGUGGCGAAGGCGACUACCUGGCCUGUUCUUGACGCUGAGGCGCGAAAGCUAGGGGAGCAAACGGG